rnacentral:lncRNA from 10 species
UUGCAAUCAAGACUGGCAGUUUGCAGGUGUAGAGUGUUUUGUUUGACUUGAACGGUGCAAUUUACUUAUUUAUUUUAGUUUAAAUGCCUUUAGAUGGAGCAAGCACUUGACAGUUAAUCAUAGUCUUGCACCUAACUGUUGCUUUGCUUGCAGUUUAUGAGAGAAGAGACUCACCUAUAUGAAAGGAUUGUGUCCCUUCAAUCCAAGGGAUGUUGAAGUCCAAAGAGGUGAACAAUGGAAAGACAUCAGCUGUGAGUCAGUGGGGAGUGUCUGAGGAUGGAGGCGCUAUGGCUCCCUGGAGAUCUCUUGGUGUGUCCACAUGCCGGGUGGGUCCACGGACAGGAGCUCUUCUGGUGCUUCCCUCACUCCCCACCCGACCCAUGCAGUACCCACCCUCUGCAGCUGGGCCCUCCAGCUGGCUCAGCUCAGCCCUGUUUCAUGUUUAGUCGGUCUUUGAUCUUCACUCUUUAACUAAAGCCAGAGCCAGGUGAAACCUGAUUUUAUCCUUUUCUCAAAUGUGAACUAAGCUCAAAAGAAAGAGAAGGCUGAUAUGGACCCACAUCUAAACUCACAUCUGAAAUAAAAACUUGAGUGGAUUUUCCUGUUGAUCUAGAAUUGGUCACUGGGGCUGAAAUUGAGGACAAAGAGAUGAUCACCAACCUUCUGAUCUGGCCCUAUGCUUGGAAGAGCAGGAGGAGAGACAAGGAGGGAGAGAGGGCAGCGUGAACACAGUGUGACCAGAGACAAGCCUGCGUGUCUGCAUUUCAGUGUUUUAAGAGGACAUGAAUUUUCCAUGGGUCCAGUGGACAAUGUGGAAGGUUUCUUUUCUGGGAGCUGCUAUCACUGAAUACAUAAAGAAAUUGAGCCUAUAUGAUUUCAAUCUUCACCUUCUGAUGCUGAUGAAACAGGAUUCUAUGCAGUUUUCCACAGGGAGAAGCAGCAGGCUGAAGUGGCUCUUUAGGGAGACACAUACCUCCACAGGAAGAGCAGUCUAGAUUGUUUUAGCACAUUCCACUUAAGGAUUGCAGUGUGACAGCAGAGAAAAUCCUCUCCAGUCAAGUAAUUGCAUCCAUUUCAUCUUCCCAGCCCUCCUCUAGAUGGGAGGUGGAGGACAGUGGGGACCCCAGCCAGAGCCUGGGGACUUGGCUGCCUUGGAACCAGAACCUGGCCCCUCAGAGGAGUUGCAGAAUUUCGAUAGAGGAGUGGCAGGAGGUGUACUGGCUGAAGAGGAGGCCCAAGGAACUCCUUUUCAUACAUCAAAACUGAGCUUAUCACCUCUACCCUGAAGUCAUCCUGGACAUCACUGGUCCCAGUUAAUCACUCACUUAUCUUUGCCAUCCUUGACCUGGGAAGAGAACGUUGCCCUCAUUGGUCUGGAAUCAGCAGGUACCUCAUGGCUGGAGGUGUAUUUUCAGACUCCUUUGGCAUCUGGUGAGGCCUGUGGAUUCAUUCUCAGAAUCACAUUUUUAAAUGCACAUAAUAAAAUACAUAGAAUUGCAAAGGAAGUUAAUUAUAUUGAAAUACAGUUAUCAAAAAUAUAAAUAAAACAAGUAUGUGGUACAGUCAUAUGUGUGCUUCUUUAUUAAGUCAUUACAAAGCAAGAUCUAUUUGGAGGUCUAAUAACUGUCAUAUGCUUGAAAAAAUCCUUAACAAUCAUAAUAUAUUAAAAAAUCUGAUUUCUACUUUGGCAAAUCAUAGAUAUUGCUGAAACUGUGGUUUAUUGCCUGCAUUCAUAAUUGAAGGAAAUGCUAGAGUUCAGUGAGAAGGUUGUGAAAAUAAAGAGAGCCUUUUUUUCUCAUCAAG